GUUGCCACAGGUCGGAAAGACCGAAGUCCGUCACAUGUGUGCAGCUCGCACUGAGCUGCAGUUGGUAGCUCCCUCCACGCUGCAGCUCCUGUAGCGCUGUUGUGCACUGGUGUUGGAAGUGGUGGUGCUGUUGUUGGACAAAAAUACCUUUAUGGAGACGAUGAGUUUAGUUACACUUCAAUGAAGAAACGUUAAUUGAGUUCUUUCUUCGAUUGUCGUGUUUGAUCAGGCUUUACACGUGUAAAGUGAUUGACGACUUCGUGUACGUUAGCGCGCGCGCAAGUGCAUUAUUUACCUGAGCCAACUUCUGUCACUGGAAAUAUCUGGUACGCUUGCAAGCUCAUCAAUUAAUGUUACUAAAUUCAUUUUAAAGUGAUUAUUUGUAAAAACGUUUCUGUUGUAAUGUGAGCCCAAGUUCUUAUUCAAAAUUUCUACAAAUAUUUCUUCACGUCUUCUUUCGCCACGGAAUGGACGAGGUCCAGUCACCAUGGCCGGAAAUAUGCCAAACCGCACCUAUUGACACGUGUUCCGCGUCGAGGGGUGAAAUAAUGCCGGAGGGGCACAGAGCAACGAUGAUCUGCUAAAGAAGGAAGAAAAUGUGCGGCGUUCGCUAAGGUCCCAGAAGGAAAAAAAUAAAAUUUAUACGAUGCGGUAUUAAUUUACAAAAGUCAAAGAUUACACGAAAAAUACCAUAAUACAUAAAAUAAAAAUACUUCAACCGAGAUUUCAAGGAGCAACGCUCGAGCUAUUUUCAAAUUAUUGAAAAAAUUAUGCCGUACUUUGACCUUAAUACAAUACCGAAAAUCGAAUGAAUCCAGUCCUAACGUAAGCAUUCACAAACCUACAGUCUCAGACUUUCUCUGAGCUUCUUGACCCUCUACCGCCUGACAUGAGUAACCGGAGCAAUAUUGUCACACAAGCCUACCCACAAAGGAUACGUUCUAGUGAGAGCAAAAUGACUGGCACUGAUUGUUA